rnacentral:rRNA from 1 species
CCUACGGGAGGCAGCAGUGGGGGAUAUUGCACAAUGGGGGGAACCCUGAUGCAGCGACGCCGCGUGGGUGAAGAAGCGCCUCGGCGCGUAAAGCCCUGUCAGCAGGGAAGAAAAUGACGGUACCUGAAGCAGAAGCCCCGGCUAACUACGUGCCAGCAGCCGCGGUAAUACGUAGGGGGCAAGCGUUAUCCGGAUUUACUGGGUGUAAAGGGGGCGCAGACGGCGAUGCAAGCCAGGAGUGAAAGCCCGGGGCCCAACCCCGGGACGGCUCUUGGAACUGCGGGGCUGGAGUGCAGGAGGGGCAGGCGGAAUUCCUGGUGUAGCGGUGAAAUGCGUAGAUAUCAGGAGGAACACCGGUGGCGAAGGCGGCCUGCUGGACUGCAACUGACGUUGAGGCCCGAAAGCGUGGGGAGCAAACAGGAUUAGAUACCCCAGUAGUA